UAAUACAUGCAAGUCGAACGCGCAGCGAAAGGUGCUUGCACCUUUCAAGCGAGUGGCGAACGGGUGAGUAACACGUGGAUAACCUGCCUCAAGGCUGGGGAUAACAUUUGGAAACAGAUGCUAAUACCGAAUAAAACUUAGUAUCGCAUGAUACAAAGUUGAAAGGCGCUACGGCGUCACCUAGAGAUGGGUCCGCGGUGCAUUAGUUAGUUGGUGGGGUAAAGGCCUACCAAGACAAUGAUGCAUAGCCGAGUUGAGAGACUGAUCGGCCACAUUGGGACUGAGACACGGCCCAAACUCCUACGGGAGGCUGCAGUAGGGAAUCUUCCACAAUGGGCGAAAGCCUGAUGGAGCAACGCCGCGUGUGUGAUGAAGGCUUUAGGGUCGUAAAGCACUGUUGUAUGGGAAGAAAUGCUAGAAUAGGGAAUGAUUCUAGUUCGACGGUACCAUACCAGAAAGGGACGGCUAAAUACGUGCCAGCAGCCGCGGUAAUACGUAUGUCCCGAGCGUUAUCCGGAUUUAUUGGGCGUAAAGCGAGCGCAGACGGUUGAUUAAGUCUGAUGUGAAAGCCCGGAGCUCAACUCCGGAAUGGCAUUGGAAACUGGUUAACUUGAGUGUUGUAGAGGUAAGUGGAACUCCAUGUGUAGCGGUGGAAUGCGUAGAUAUAUGGAAGAACACCAGUGGCGAAGGCGGCUUACUGGACAACAACUGACGUUGAGGCUCGAAAGUGUGGG
rnacentral:rRNA from 1 species